rnacentral:rRNA from 1 species
GACGUAGGGUGCGAGCGUUGUCCGGAUUUAUUGGGCGUAAAGAGCUCGUAGGCGGCUCGUCGCGUCGACCGUGAAAACCCGCGGCUUAACUGCGGGCUUGCGGUUGAUACGGGCGGGCUAGAGUUCGGUAGGGGAGACUGGAAUUCCCGGUGUAGCGGUGAAAUGCGCAGAUAUCGGGAGGAACACCAAUGGCGAAGGCAGCUCGCUGGGACGGUACUGACGCUGAGACGCGAAAGCGUGGGGAGCAAACAGG